rnacentral:lncRNA from 1 species
CUGGCGGCUGCCGGGGGCUGGCCAGGAACGCCCUGCAAGGCCGGGGUGCGGCCGCUCCGGCGCGCGCGUUCCCGGCAGCUAUGUUUUUUUGCAGCGAACGUAGAAAAGAGCCAGGCAUUCUUCCAGUACAGAAAGCCCAGUGAGCUCCCUCUGUUACAGGAGUCACUGCUGUCAGAGCCACAGCUGUAAAGAGAAACCCAGCUUUGCAAUGGAACGAAUGGGAUUGGAAGGGUCCACCAUUACUCCUGGAUUUUAUAUUGCCUCAGUUUAAGAGCUCUUCUGCAGUCCCACUUAGCUUCCUUCCCUUGGGAGCUACGCACUUAAAAGGAAAGUGAACAUGAGAGUUUGGAAGAACAAAUACAACCAAAGAAAAGAACUCACAUUCCUACAGGGGGGUUCUUUGGAAGAGAGCAGGUGCAGGGAAAUGUGGGAUCUUUAAAACAGUCACUGGAGCUUUUGAAAGCUGUUUGUAACCAACACGAUUCCCCCCCAAACUUUCGGCACCUUGGCAGCCAGGAGGACUUUUGCUCCUUGUGUUUCUCUUACUUUUUAAGAGCUGCAGAGCACAAAGAACCUCUCCAGGACUCCUGGAGAGCCGGAGUCACAUGCAUGGAGGCAACAUAGGCGCUUCAUCCUGCAACAGCUGC